rnacentral:rRNA from 1 species
CCUACGGGAGGCAGCAGUGAGGAAUAUUGGUCAAUGGACGAGAGUCUGAACCAGCCAAGUAGCGUGAAGGAUGACUGCCCUAUGGGUUGUAAACUUCUUUUAUAUGGGAAUAAAAUGUUCCACGUGUGGGAUUUUGUAUGUACCAUAUGAAUAAGGAUCGGCUAACUCCGUGCCAGCAGCCGCGGUAAUACGGAGGAUCCGAGCGUUAUCCGGAUUUAUUGGGUUUAAAGGGAGCGUAGGUGGAUUGUUAAGCCAGUUGUGAAAGUUUGCGGCUCAACCGUAAAAUUGCAGUUGAAACUGGCAGUCUUGAGUACAGUAGAGGUGGGCGGAAUUCGUGGUGUAGCGGUGAAAUGCUUAGAUAUCACGAAGAACUCCGAUUGCGAAGGCAGUUCACUGGACUGCAACUGACACUGAGGCUCGAAAGUGUGGGUAUCAAACAGGAUUAGAUACCCGAGUAGUC